CAGGCCUAACACAUGCAAGUCGAGCGGUAGCAGGAAGUGCUUGCACUUCGCUGACGAGCGGCGGACGGGUGCGUAACACGUAGGAAUCUGCCCGGUAGUGGGGGAUAGCCCGGAGAAAUUCGGAUUAAUACCGCAUACGCCCUAAGGGGGAAAGCAGGGGAUCUUCGGACCUUGCGCUAUCGGAUGAGCCUGCGUCGGAUUAGCUAGUUGGUGGGGUAAAGGCCCACCAAGGCGACGAUCCGUAGCUGGUCUGAGAGGAUGAUCAGCCACACUGGGACUGAGACACGGCCCAGACUCCUACGGGAGGCAGCGGUGGGGAAUAUUGCACAAUGGGCGAAAGCCUGAUGCAGCCAUGCCGCGUGUGUGAAGAAGGCCCUAGGGUUGUAAAGCACUUUCAGUGGGGAGGAAAGGUUGAAGGUUAAUACCCUUUAGCUGUGACGUUACCCACAGAAGAAGCACCGGCUAACUCCGUGCCAGCAGCCGCGGUAAUACGGAGGGUGCGAGCGUUAAUAGGAAUUACUGGGCGUAAAGCGUGCGUAGGCGGCUUUUUAAGUUGGAUGUGAAAGCCCCGGGCUUAACCUGGGAACUGCAUCCAAAACUGGAAGGCUUGAGUGCGAGAGAGGAGUGUGGAAUUUCCUGUGUAGCGGUG
rnacentral:rRNA from 1 species